rnacentral:rRNA from 1 species
AGAGUUUGAUUAUGGCUCAGGAUGAACGCUAGCUACAGGCUUAACACAUGCAAGUCGAGGGGCAUCAGGAUGUAGCAAUACAUUGCUGGCGACCGGCGCACGGGUGAGUAACACGUAUCCAACCUGCCUUUUACUCGGGGAUAGGCUUUCGAAAGAAAGAUUAAUACCCGAUGGUAUAAUAUUCCUGCAUGGGUUUAUUAUUAAAGAAUUUCGGUAAAAGAUGGGGAUGCGUUCCAUUAGGCAGUUGGCGGGGUAACGGCCCACCAAACCUUCGAUGGAUAGGGGUUCUGAGAGGAAGGUCCCCCACAUUGGAACUGAGACACGGUCCAA